GAUGAACGCUGGCGGCGUGCCUAAUACAUGCAAGUCGAGCGAACGGACGAGAAGCUUGCUUCUCUUAUGUUAGCGGCGGACGGGUGAGUAACACGUGGAUAACCUACCUAUAAGACUGGGAUAACUUCGGGAAACCGGAGCUAAUACCGGAUAAUAUUUUGAACCGCAUGGUUCAAAAGUGAAAGACGGUCUUGCUGUCACUUAUAGAUGGAUCCGCGCUGCAUUAGCUAGUUGGUAAGGUAACGGCUUACCAAGGCAACGAUGCAUAGCCGACCUGAGAGGGUGAUCGGCCACACUGGAACUGAGACACGGUCCAGAAUCCUACGGGAGGCAGCAGUAGGGAAUCUUCCGCAAUGGGCGAAAGCCUGACGGAGCAACGCCGCGUGAGUGAUGAAGGUCUUCGGAUCGUAAAACUCUGUUAUUAGGGAAGAACAUAUGUGUAAGUAACUGUGCACAUCUUGACGGUACCUAAUCAGAAAGCCACGGCUAACUACGUG
rnacentral:rRNA from 1 species